rnacentral:piRNA from 1 species
UGUUUCUCCUUAAGGUCAUCUCAAA